CAACAGUUAACUCCCUCCACCCCUCCCGGGCCUCCCUCCUGCUCUCUGCCCGGGCCGGGGCACCGGAGGCGGGUUCCCCGGAUCACCGCAAGCUGUCCCGGACCGGUCGGUGUGUGUGUACGGUUCACGGAGCUGCAGGGAGACAGGGAACAGCAGCGGCAGGGUGUACACUAGGUUCCGUGCACGGAGCGGCCCUGCUGGGCGGAGCUAAGAGCAGCCGGAGCAGGUGGGCGGUGUCUGUCUGCAGAGCACCUGAGAUACAAGCUAUCGGAGCCACUUAACUCGUGGCCUUUCGGUUUCGUCUUUAUCGCCACGGAGAUAAUGAGACGUUUUCCUGGCAUCGCCCCUGAUUGGAUACGAGGGAGACCCUGGGCGUGACGGAGGUGGAGAGGGAGGGAGGGAGGUUGGGGCGGU